rnacentral:rRNA from 1 species
GCAAGUCGAACGGGAUCUUCGGAUCUAGUGGCGGACGGGUGAGUAACGCGUGGGAACGUGCCCUUUGGUUCGGAAUAGCCCCGGGAUACUGGGAGUAAUACCGGAUACGGUCGAGAGACGAAAGAUUUAUCGCCGAAGGAUCGGCCCGCGUUGGAUUAGGUAGUUGGUGGGGUAAUGGCCUACCAAGCCGACGAUCCAUAGCUGGUUUGAGAGGAUGAUCAGCCACACUGGGACUGAGACACGGCCCAGACUCCUACGGGAGGCAGCAGUGGGGAAUCUUAGACAAUGGGGGAAACCCUGAUCUAGCCAUGGCGCGUGAGCGAUGAAGGCCUUAGGGUUGUAAAGCUCUUUCAGUGGGGAAGAUAAUGACGGUACCCACAGAAGAAGCGCCGGGUAACUCCGCGCCAGGAGCCGCGGUAAUACGGAGGGGGCUAACGUUGUUCGGAAUUACAGGGCGUAAAGCGCACGUAGGCGGACCGGAAAGUCAGGGGUGAAAGCCCGGGGCUCAACCCGAACUGCCUUU